ensembl:snRNA U6 U6 spliceosomal RNA
ACUUUCUCUGAAAGCAUGUAUCACAAUUGAAAUGAUACAAAUCUGAUUAACAUGAGUUCUGUGCAAGGAUGAUAUGCAAGUUUGUGAAGCAUUCCAUACUUAA